rnacentral:rRNA from 1 species
GUGCCAGCCGCCGCGGUAAUACGGGGGGGGCAAGCGUUGUUCGGAAUUACUGGGCGUAAAGGGCGCGUAGGCGGCUCGCUAAGUUGGAUGUGAAAACUCUGGGCUUAACCCAGAGCCUGCAUUCAAAACUGACGGGCUAGAGUUCUGGAGGGGAUAGCGGAAUUCCUGGUGUAGCGGUGAAAUGCGUAGAUAUCAGGAGGAACACCGGUGGCGAAGGCGGCUAUCUGGACAGAAACUGACGCUGAGGCGCGAAAGCUAGGGGAGCAAACAGGAUUAGAAACCCUGGUAGUCC